UCAGGCUGAAUGUGGCUCUGCAUCUGGGUCAAGCCAAGGAAAGAACUUUGCUGAGUUUAACGGGUCUCCCAGAGACCCCUCACCCCUGCAUUGUCAUUUCCCUUAAAACAAUGCUCUCUGUAUGUCCGCCCCCAGGCCCAGCUCUUCCCCACCAACAUGAACAUCAGUACCACGGCCUUCAAACCCCCAUAACCCAGCACUCGCCUGAAUGCUUGCUUGGGAGCAUCCCAGAUACUAAGGUUCAAAGUCAAACAGCACGAGCAGGUUGGCAAAUCCCAGGCAGCCAGGCCUCAUAAAGUGAGGUGGAAGUGGGGUCAGGGCCAGAGUGAAGGCACAGUCAUCCCCAAAUCGCGCCAAACCCAGAAGGAAGUGGCCAGCCCAGGGGCUGAGUAAAGCCUGAAGUUCGAGGAAGGCCACGUGCAUCCUAUUGUGACUACGGCCUAAUUAGGACACCCCAGUCUUGGGCCACCUCAUGGCCUCGGACAGGGAUUGGAGAUGUAUAAAAGGUGGACAGGCUCUGAGCAUCCUAAAGCCUUCCACAUCUCCAAGCACCAGAUCCUGGUCAACUAGGCGCACACCCAGCCCGGAAUGUCUCAGCAGAAGCAGAAGCAGUGCUGCCCCCCACCUCAGCAGUGCUGCCCGCCACCCCAGCAGUGCUGCCCGCCACCCAAGCAGUGCUGCCCGCCACCCAAGCAGUGCUGCCCCCCACCCAAGCAGUGCUGCCCGCCACCCAAGCAGUGCUGCCCCCCACCCAAGCAGUGCUACCCACCACCUAAGGACUGCUAAACCCCCUCUCUAGACCAAGCAGCCUUGCCAGCCUCCACCCAACUGCAAGGAGCCCUUUGCCCUCUAAGUGCCAACAGAAGUGCCCACCCCCUCAGCAGUGCCACAAGUCCAAGCAGAAGUAAGCCCUGGGCAUGUGUCGCGAUGCCGAGCCCCCGGGAGAACAGAGACCAUGAAGCCCACUCCCCUCUCUCCGCCAGCCAGCCGCCAGCCCCCCUCAUCCCUGGCCUUCUGGAUGCAGCCACGCUUCCGGGAAAGGCAGCCCCAGGACGGCAGCUUCCUGGAUCAUGAAGUCUUAUUAAAGCAGCUGCAAUUUCCAUCUCAGAUGCGGAUCUGGUUCUAAACCGUCAAAUCAUCUUGGCUGACAUGUACGCACUCCACCCUGUCGGCUUCUUGGACACUUAGGCAGCAUGCCUGGACGCUGUUUUCCUAUCAGCCGUCAUUUCUGCUCUUGUCUUCUAAACAAUUAAACACAAUUCCUCUAGCA